rnacentral:lncRNA from 1 species
GAAGGUAUCUCAAGGUUUCACCCGACAUGCUUCUUUCUGUGAGAACUGCCUCUGUCUCACGGGCUGGGGUGGCAUCCGAACAAUUUCCAAAGGGCGAGUGGAGUUGAUUUUUCACCCUGUACUUUAUUGGGAAGUUUUGGUUGACUUGGGGAGCUGGUGUGAACAGGAACCAGAGGCACUCCGGAGGUUGCCUGGAUUGGGGAGGGGUGGGUGAGUGCACUUGCGCGCGCGUGCGUUUGUGUGUGUGUGUGUGUGUGUGUGCGGUGUAGGGAGGCGGGGGGCGGGGGUGAGGGCCUGGGGCGGGGGCGGGGCGCGGCUCCGUGUUAAGCAGCACCGUGGCGGUUCCACGCUGAGUGCAGCGUGCUCGGCUCUCUCGUUGCAGGGUGUCAGGCAGAGUGGAAGGAGAGGAGGAGAAGGGAAGUCGGGGACGUCGGUCAUGUCUAGGCGCUGGUGUUCUGGGGUGUCAGGCAGAGUGGAAGGAGAGGAGGAGAAGGGAAGUCGGGGACGUCGGUCAUGUCUAGGCGCUGGUGUUCUGGGGUGUCAGGCAGAGUGGAAGGAGAGGAGGAGAAGGGAAGUCGGGGACGUCGGUCAUGUCUAGGCGCUGGUGUUCUGGGUGAGUGAGUGCCCUUUGUUCUCUUCCUUCUCCUCUUCCAAAAGGGUUCAUUUCAUCACAGGAAAAGGUCAGUGGUUCUGGUGGUUCAGCAAGCCUCAAGAAGGGGAGACUCCCAAGGUAGGUCCGUGGCACGGGGCCACCGGCGUACCGUGCCGGAGUUUUCCGGCUUGAUAGCAGAGGCUCUCGGGCCAGGUCCCGCU